rnacentral:rRNA from 1 species
GAUGAACGCUAGCGGCAGGCCUAAUACAUGCAAGUCGGACGGGAUUCAGGAGCUUGCUUCUGAUGAGAGUGGCGCACGGGUGCGUAACACGUAUGUAACCUACCUUUAUCAGGGGGAUAGCCUCUCGAAAGAGAGAUUAAGCCCGCAUAAAAUCACAGCACAGCAUUGUGUAAUGAUCAAAUAUUUAUAGGAUAAAGAUGGGCAUGCGGAACAUUAGCUAGAUGGCGGGGUAACGGCCCACCAUGGCGACGAUGUUUAGGGGAUCUGAGAGGAUGGCCCCCCACACUGGUACUGAGACACGGACCAGACUCCUACGGGAGGCAGCAGUAAGGAAUAUUGGUCAAUGGGCGGAAGCCUGAACCAGCCAUGCCGCGUGCAGGAAGACGGCCCUACGGGUUGUAAACUGCUUUUAUACGGGAAUAAACCCAGAUACGUGUAUCUGGCUGAAUGUACUGUAAGAAUAAGGAUCGGCUAACUCCG